CCCAUUCCUAUGGCAGCACAUGCUUGAGGCUCUAUCCCCAGGGUGAUAGAGAUGUCUGUCCAUAUCUAUCUCCAAGGUUAGUCUGUAAAUGUGUGGUGUUAGAAAAGCAGGCUAAGUUGUGGGCUGGUUGUAGAAGGAGAAAGAAGGCCAGAGGCCAGUGCAAGCAGGCAGCCCUCAGCUUGCACAUGAUGUCCCCUCCCUGCAGGUUCCUGUCCUUGAGCCCAGGCCCUGAGGUGAGGCUGAGAAGUGGCGCGGAGGUGAGCCCAGAGCUGUCCCUGAGGUGAGGCUGAGAAUAAGUGCAAGGCAGAGGUGCUGCUGAGGAAGGACAGGCCCAUGGUGGGGAAGACAAGAAGCUGUGAGAGCCCUGAGAAGGUGCUGUGUCCAUCCCCUGUGUGCCAGGAUUUGUCCUUCCCAAAGCUUGGGCGGAUGGAGGAGGAGGCUGCGAGGAAGAGGAAGAUGCCUUGGGCCCCCCAGGCAGGCCCCGAGCUGAGGAGGGAGAGCCCAGAGGACAAAUCCCCCCGUGAGACCCUGGUGGGAGAGGCCGUUUUGAAGGGCUCCCCGGCGCAGGAAGGCAGCAGGGAGGAAAAGGGCCAGAGAUCCCCCCACAGGAGGGGCUCCAAAGCCAACCCAGGGUGCUCUGAGGAGGAAAGAGCCAGCCUGUGCCGGGAAGGCAGCUGGAGCUUGAGGGGGAGCUCUGAGCUGGUGGUCCCUGAGCAGCCUCCCAGCAGGGAGAAGCCCUUCAGGUGCUUGGAAUGUGGGAAGAGCUUCAGUAGGAGCA